GACGUGUUUCCCACGAUGCACCGCCUCUGUCUUCUCUCGCGGCUGUCGUUCUUUACCCCUUGGUGCAAUCUUGCACAGAACCCUUUUGACAGAUGGAAGGGCUAUCUGAGCCUUGCGAAAGUGGUUACGGAGAUCAUCGCGGAACGCAAGAAGGUCCCAUUUCCAUCUCAGAGUUUGGACACAAUGGAGUACGACAUGCAGCUAGUCCUCAACGAGGACAACUUUGAAACAGCAUCACAAUGGGUUAAUGGAAGCAGUUCCAGCAGCAAGAGCUCCAAAGGUAGUGCCAAUGGCCAGGCUUCCCAAAACAAGGAGAUUUGCAAUUUCUGCAAACACAACGGGGAAUCCAAGCAGGUCUAUUCGUCCCACCGGCUGAAGGGGAUGGACGGCACCGUGGAGUGCCCCAUCUUGCGCAAAUACACCUGUCCGCUCUGCGGUGCCACGGGCGAAAAGGCCCAUACUUUAAAAUACUGCCCACUGAGCCAAGGGAAGAGGUCGCUGUAUCGCAAGUGCGGACGUAACUCGGCUGGACGCAAGGUGAGGAGAUAAGAAGAUCAGGAGAAGACCGAAGCAUUUAUUCUUAGUUUUAGUUUGACUUUGUAAAAGAACAACAUUUGAUUUCGAGCAUCAUUAACACUCUUUACAUUUCCUCCCACUUUGUUUCAGGUUUGGAGAAUGGAAGCCCAAUUCUCUUAGACUACAUUUAUGUGUCAGUUGCCUAGUGUGAUGAUUCAUGGGCCCUGCAGUCCUAUUCCUGACAGUAUUGUGGCAGAUGAGGAGGAAAAUAUGGAGUUUUCCCCAGAUUUCCGGUCGGAGUCAGAGCCUUGGCAGCUGCCUGAAGUUCUAGUCCAAGAACCAAUUAAACCUGACCUUGGUGGGAACUCUCCCCCUUAUGGGAGAAAACAGGCUUACACGACUGAUAGAGGAUCGAGAGAAAAAUUUAGAAGUACUGCUCGCCUUGCUGCCAAAUAUGCCACUGAUUAGAAGUAUUUCCCCUGAGAAAAUACGGGGAGUCUUGCACCUGCAAGCUGGUUUCCUUCGCUCCCUGUUCUCUAGGGAAAGUGAUUGUUGUUUGGGGAAACGAGACCCAAUAUAGGGAAAUUGCGCGAAGGAUUCCUUGCGGAGUCAAUUCGUCAGCUCCUGGAGAGAGGUCAUGUGUGUGUGGACUUCGAAUCCUGUUCCUUGCCUCCUGAAUCUAGUUCCAAGCCUUGUCCUCGUCUCACGGAUUUACCACAGAUCUUGUUCCAUGCUUCAAGUUGCUUUGCCUUUAGCCACAGCUCCAGCCACGUUCCAAG